UUUCUUCUUGGAUUUGGAAGUCGAAUUCUGAUGUGUUGUGUUGCGGUACGUUGUUGAUGGGCGCCUGACGGUGGCACCGCGUCCGCGCGUUGGUAGGGUCUUGGACAACCCACCACGGAAAGAUUACCUGGUUGAUCCUGCCAAUCUGCUUGUCUCACAUGCACGGCCCGUGCUGAACAUCAUGCCUGUGAACACAUGCCUGAACACAUAACAGUGCUUGGAACAAUAUAACGAGAUCCUGUUUCUGUUCUGUUGGUUUUUGGAAUACAGGAUAAUUAUUAAGAGGGACAAACGGGGGCAUUCGUAUUGCGGUGCUAGAGGUGAAAAUCUUGGACCGUCGCAAGACGAACUACUGCGAAAGCAUUUGCCAAGAAUGUUUUCAUUGGUCACGAACGAAAGUUAGAGGUUCGAAGAUGAUCAGAUACCGCCCUAGCUCUAACCAUAAACGAUGCCAACCAGCAAUCCACCUGAGUUACUCAAAUGACUCGGCGUGCAGCUUCCGGGAAGCCAAAGUAUUUGGGUUACGGGGAAAGUAUGGUUGCAAAGCUGAAACUUAAAGGAAUUGACAGAAGGGCACCACCAGGAGUGGAGCCUGUGGCUUAAUUUGACUCAACACGGGAAAACUUACCCGG
rfam:Ixodes scapularis strain Wikel colony gcontig_1108379650310, whole genome shotgun sequence.